rnacentral:rRNA from 1 species
CCUACGGGAGGCUGCAGUGGGGAAUAUUGGACAAUGGGGGGAACCCUGAUCCAGCCAUGCCGCGUGUGUGAAGAAGGCCCUCGGGUUGUAAAGCACUUUCAGUGAGGAAGAACGCCUGGUGGUUAAUACCCAUCAGGAAAGACAUCACUCACAGAAGAAGCACCGGCUAACUCCGUGCCAGCAGCCGGGUAAUACGGAGGGUGCGAGCGUUAAUCGGAAUUACUGGGCGUAAAGCGCGCGUAGGUGGCUUGAUAAGCCGGUUGUGAAAGCCCCGGGCUCAACCUGGGAACGGCAUCCGGAACUGUCAAGCUAGAGUGCAGGAGAGGAAGGUAGAAUUCCCGGUGUAGCGGUGAAAUGCGUAGAGAUCGGGAGGAAUACCAGUGGCGAAGGCGGCCUUCUGGACUGACACUGACACUGAGGUGCGAAAGCGUGGGUAGCAAACAGGAUUAGAUACCCGGGUAGUC